rnacentral:lncRNA from 1 species
UGUAUCCAUUUGACAAAAGCAGCAAAUACAUUGAGGCAGGGAUCUGCACAACCAUUUGUGAUGACUGAGAGCUGUAAGGGUAUAAAAUAAACAGCGCAAUCUGAUGCUAUCCAUCCACUUGCCUUUGCCUUGCACUGGAAGGAGGGACUAUGCCAUGGAAAAACAGGUCUGGAUCAGAGGAAAGAGCCUGUAAUGUGCACUGGAAAAUUAACUUCUGAAUUAGAGAAAUAAAAACUACCCAUCAGUGGUUUUAAACACACAGUGCAGCUGGUUUGGGUGUAAUUGUAUGUCACAUGUAUAAAAAAACCAACAGGUUAAGUGGUGCCUGGAAUUAUUCCUGUUGGACUGUAAACUUGUCAGCACAGCACUGCCAGCCCAGAGCCACACACACAUUGCAGGAGUGAUGUGAAGAGGGGCAGAAGGAUACAAAGCAGAAGGCUCAGAGGUUGGAGCCGAAGGCUGGAGGUGGACAUCCAGGUGAGGAGAGACUGAAGAGUUUCUCUGCAUUUAGAUUUGGUCCAAAGGAGCUGCCUCGAAAGGGUAAACUCUUGCACCUUCUAUCCAGCUCUUUGUCCCCAGUGACAAAUAAAGGACCACCAAGAAGAACAGUCUGAAACUUGUGACCAACAGAUGGAAAAACGUACAAACUCUUCUCCUUCCAGUCAAGAUAAAGGUUAAACAUGUAAAUGAGGAAAGCAAGAGUUUUGCAGUGAUGUGCUUUUCUUUUCUCCUUUGCCAGCUCAGAGAGCCACCAUGUGAAUAUUCCCCUGGCAUGCUUACACUUGUGCUUAGUACACUUAUGCCCAAGUUUUACUACAGGUAACCGUCCAAGUUUGAUACCAAUGGGAAUACUACAAUACUACAGAGGCAGUAUGUCUGAACGCAUUUUCCACAUCCACGUGCCCCAUGAUGAUAUGCCCAUGUAAACAUAUGCAAUGCACUGAAUUUUCCAUCAGCAGGUGCUCCAGAAGAACCACUCUGCAAUCAAGACCUAGCUAAAUUCCUCUUAAAAACCCAGUUUUUUUCUUUCCUUAAUGAACUCCAAUAACAAAAUGUGCUUCUUUGAACACGGGAAGGAUCCUUCUCUGCAACCAUACCCUUGUAUUCUCCAAAGCUCACUGUUCAGCAAGUGCUUCUCAAGGCAUUUUUCCUCCUUCCUAUUUUAUGCCAAUGCAAGAAGUGGAAUAAGAAAGCCUGACUCUCAAAGUGUAAAAACAGACACAUUGUAGGCAAUUUGAGUGCCUGGUACAACAUCUGCAUUCACAGCAAUUUCCAGCCGCCUGGUGAGUUGAAGGUAAAACAACACAGGGUAGAGGGUUUUGGUCAAUAUAUCAACUCCUUGACUCUUCCUAUGGCUGACACGCGUGACUGAAACUUCGUAUUUUUCACAAUUAAGAAAAAAAAUUAAAUCUCCUUCACAAAUUUCCAUCUCCAGAGAUUCUCCUUCUACUGAUGACUAAGUGAAGAGGGAAUUUCUGGAAUGGGUUGAUUUAGUUUGUGAUUUACUUCCAUUUUUCCUUGCUCUUCCAAGUGUUAAUUACAAUUAACGGAAAUGGAGAAGAUAUUUGGGAACAAGGAGCUUAUAAUUUUUAUCUUGUUGCUACUCAGUAACUGCUAUAGGUAUAAAUCAAUGUAUUUAAGAAAAAACACCCUAGUAACUAAAGUGAUGGCACUUUCUAUGCAUAAAGAAAGUGGCUUUUCUCCUAUGUCUCUAAUACCAACUGCAAAUUUAUGCAUAGCUUUGGAGGUCUGAUCCCCUAAUUCUUAAUUUUGAAAUGUUGAAAAAAAUGGGUGAGAGCUUGUAAACAAGAUAUAUUUGGUCAUUCUUCCAAUGUCCUUUGAUCUAUGUAAUAAAGGUCAGCAUUCAGUGCUUCAUUCUACAUUCUCCCAAAUAUCUAAUUGCCUAAUUAUUGCAUUAUUUCACAGCCAAUCAGCUGAAGGGGUUUGUAUGGGAGUAUGGCAGAAAAAGAGGGCUGUCAGUCUUUGGUUAUGGUCCUAUAGUUCUAAUUCAAGAAUUAAAUAUCUGUCUUUUCUAAAAGUCAUUACAUGAUUUAUUGGAAAAUUGGUAGAAACAGCCCUGGGGGGUUGUGCUCAAAAUCUGGUUUAGAAGAGUGGCUGCUAGCUAUGACUUUUGAUUUUCUUCUAUCAAAAUGAAUAGCGCUGCCUGUUUCUAUGCAAAUUAAAUGUUUGAAUGUAUUUUUUUAAGACAGAUUAUAUUUGUUAAUUUAAUUGGAUUUCUUAUGCAAUAGGGUGAUUUGUGUUUUGAUCUUUAUUUUUUUCUUUUAAAUGAGGAAGGCAAAUUCUUCCCUAGAAGUGCAGUACUGCUUUUUCUGUUGUUUGAUGGCCCUAAAACGUCUGCAGAAAUUGUAGGUCAAGAAUUACAGCCACAGUAAAUCAUGCCUCAUGAAUGAGAAGUCGUCUGUGAUUUCUCUAGGGUUUUUUUUUCUUUCUUUCUUUUUUUUUUUUUUCUGUCUUUAAAAUGAAUGUAAUAUUCAGAAGAAAAUAAAGCCUCCUUUAGCAUAACUGGCAUAGGUAUGAACCAUAUCAAAAUAUGUGUAUUUAUGACAUUCCAACCCAACAUCUAGAAUUUAGGCUGUAUCAAGCAGAGAGAAGCCUCUAUAAGUAACCUCAAGAAAAAAAAAAUAUAUAUUUUUAACAAUAUUUAUUCCAGUUAAUUAUUUUUAAAAACAUCAUUAGAUUUCUUCAUACAAAAGUGAUGAUUACUUCUCAUUGCGAACCCAGAAUAGAAUCAGGAAGGAUAUGGGGCAGCUCCUGCAGUGCAGUCUCUGGGAUACGGUACCCCAAGCUCCUGUUCUGGGGGGAGCAGUUGGGGGUCACCCCAGCUCCUCUUUGUAACUUAUUCACCUCCAGUUCUAGAGUAGCCGAUCCACUUCUGUAAUGCUGCGUGACAAUACAAGUGAUUGGCUUUUGGUGCUGAUUGUGGACAUGCAGCUAGAGACAGUCAAGGAGCAGCCUUGUGGUUUAGUUCACCCUUGUCUCUAUGGAGGGCUCCUCCUGUUUCAUGCUUCCCCACGCUGAAGGCUUAGUAAAAUCAGUAACUGCUGCUGCCUUUCUUUCCACCUUUUCUGCCAAAGUACCUGGUAAAGCAGUAAUGAUGGUGGCUGGAGGAAAAAGCCACAAAAAUACACACUUAAAUGCAGAAGAGGAGUUAACUCUAGUAUUUAUGUAUCUGAUAGAUUAUAAGAAAUUUUAUAUUGUACUGUCAGCAGCUGGACCCACAUAAUAGCCCCUAAAGCUUCAAAGAGCAAAUAACAGGCGCAUCAGAUGCAGCUGGGCAGAUACAAUAGAUUGAACAUCUCCAAAGAACUCCCAUUAGAGUCCGUUGGGUCAAUAACCCACAAACUAAGAAGGAUUUACAUGAUAGACCGUAACAGCUGUUUGGAAGCCAUUACAUUUUGUCAAUGCAAAAUCCAGUUUUCAAAAUAUUGUGAUAUACUUAUUUAUGUGAGAGGCCCUAAUGGCGCUGAAGGUGCCAUUCCAA